GAUGAAGAACGCAGCAAAAUGCGAUAAGUAAUGUGAAUUGCGGAAUUCAGUGAAUCAUCGAAUCUUUGAACGCACAUUGCGCCCGCCAGUAUUCUGGCGGGCAUGCCUGUUCGAGCGUCAUUUCAACCCUCAAGCCCUCGGGUUUGGUGUUGGGGAUCGGCGAGCCUUUCUGGCAAGCCGGCCCCGAAAUCUAGUGGCGGUCUCGCUGCAGCCUCCAUUGCGUAGUAGUAAAACCCUCGCAACUGGAACGCGGCGCGGCCAAGCCGUUAAACCCCCAACUUCUGAAUGUUGACCUCGGAUCAGGUAGGAAUACCCGCUGAACUUAAGCAUAUCAAUAAGCGGAGGA
rnacentral:misc_RNA from 1 species